rnacentral:rRNA from 1 species
AUUGAACGCUGGCGGCAGGCUUAACACAUGCAAGUCGAACGAGUGGCGGACGGGUGAGUAAUGUCUGGGAAACUGCCCGAUGGCGGGGGAUAACUACUGGAAACGGUAGCUAAUACCGCAUACCAUCAGAUGUGCCCAUAUGGGAUUAGCUUGUUGGUGGGGUAACGGCUCACCAAGGCGACGAUCCGUAGCUGGUCUGAGAGGACGACCAGCCACACUGGGACUGAGACACGGUCCAGACUCCUACGGGAGGCAGCAGUGGGGAAUAUUGCACAAUGGGCGAAAGCCUGAUGCAGCCAUGCCGCGUGUAUGAAGAAGGCCUUCGGGUUGUAAAGUACUUUUGGCGGAGAAGCGUUACCCGCAGAAGAAGCACCGGCUAACUCCGUGCCAGCAGCCGCGGUAAUUC